rnacentral:rRNA from 1 species
CCUACGGGGGGCAGCAGUGGGGAAUAUUGGACAAUGGGGGGAACCCUGAUCCAGCCAUGCCGCGUGUGUGAAGAAGGCCCUCGGGUUGUAAAGCACUUUCAGUGAGGAAGAACGCCUGGUGGUUAAUACCCAUCAGGAAAGACAACACUCACAGAAGAAGCACCGGCUAACUCCGUGCCAGCAGCCGCGGUAAUACGGAGGGUGCGAGCGUUAAUCGGAAUUACUGGGCGUAAAGCGCGCGUAGGUGGCUUGAUAAGCCGGUUGUGAAAGCCCCGGGCUCAACCUGGGAACGGCAUCCGGAACUGUCAAGCUAGAGUGCAGGAGAGGAAGGUAGAAUUCCCGGUGUAGCGGUGAAAUGCGUAGAGAUCGGGAGGAAUACCAGUGGCGAAGGCGGCCUUCUGGACUGACACUGACACUGAGGUGCGAAAGCGUGGGUAGCAAACAGGAUUAGAUACCCCUGUAGUC